rnacentral:rRNA from 1 species
UGCAGUCGAGCGGUAGGCCCUUUCGGGGGUACACGAGCGGCGAACGGGUGAGUAACACGUGAGUAAUCUGCCCUCCACUUUGGGAUAAGCCUCGGAAACGGGGUCUAAUACCGGAUAUGAGCAUUCCACGCAUGUGGUUUGUUGGAAAGUUUUUCGGUGGGGGAUGUGCUCGCGGCCUAUCAGCUUGUUGGUGGGGUAAUGGCCUACCAAGGCUUCGACGGGUAGCCGGCCUGAGAGGGUGACCGGCCACACUGGGACUGAGACACGGCCCAGACUCCUACGGGAGGCAGCAGUGGGGAAUAUUGGACAAUGGGCGGAAGCCUGAUCCAGCAACGCCGCGUGAGGGAUGACGGCCUUCGGGUUGUAAACCUCUUUCACCUCCGACGAAGCGAAAGUGACGGUAGGGGGAGAAGAAGCACCGGCCAACUACGUGCCAGCAGCCGCGGUAAUACGUAGGGUGCGAGCGUUGUCCGGAAUUAUUGGGCGUAAAGGGCUCGUAGGCGGUUUGUCGCGUCGGGAGUGAAAACACCGGGCUUAACUCGGUGCUGGCUUCCGAUACGGGCAGACUAGAGGUAUUCAGGGGAGAACGGAAUUCCUGGUGUAGCGGUGAAAUGCGCAGAUAUCAGGAGGAACACCGGUGGCGAAGGCGGUUCUCUGGGAAUUACCUGACGCUGAGGAGCGAAAGUGUGGGGAGCGAACAGGAUUAGAUACCCUGGUAGUCCACACCGUAAACGUUGGGCGCUAGGUGUGGGACCCGUCCACGGGUUCCGUGCCGCAGCUAACGCAUUAAGCGCCCCGCCUGGGGAGUACGGCCGCAAGGCUAAAACUCAAAGGAAUUUGACGGGGCCCGCACAAGCGGCGAGCAUGCGGAUUAAUUCGAUGCAACGCGAGAUCUUUACCUGGGUUUGACAUA